rnacentral:tRNA from 1 species
AGGAAAGAGAGGGAUUCGACCCUCGGUA